GACGGCAAAACCGGAUGUUCUCCA
rnacentral:piRNA from 1 species